rnacentral:rRNA from 1 species
GAUGAACGCUGGCGGCGUGCUUAACACAUGCAAGUCGAACGAAACACUUUAUUUUAUUUCCUUCGGGCCUGAUGCUUUUGUGACUGAGUGACGUACGUAUGCUUCACGCGUCUGUAACCUGCCUUCUGCAGGGUGAUGACAAUACGAAACAGCUGCUAAUGCCGCAUAAGCGCACAGCAUCGCAUGAUGCAGUUGGAAAAGCUCCGGUGGUAUACGAUGUACGCGCGUUGGUUUAGCUAGUCGGUGAGGUUACGGCAUACCAAGGCGACGAUGCAUAGCCGAGCGGAGAGGCGGACAGGCCACAUUGGGACUGCGACACGGCCCAAACUCCUACGCGAGGCAGCAGUGGGGAAUAUUGCACAAGGGGCGAAAGUCUGACGAAGCGACGUCGCGUGAGAGAAGAAGUAGGUUGGUAUGUAAAGCUCUAUCAGCAGGGAAGAUAAUGACGGUACCGGACUAAGAAGCACCGGCUAACUACGUG